GCACUCCCCUUAAUAACGACGGACUUCACCUUUGGGUGAUUAAUGAUUAAGGCAUUGCCAUUUAUUUUGUGGAAUCUUACCAUGUUUUUAU
rfam:Strongylocentrotus purpuratus Contig60719_fixed, whole genome shotgun sequence.